rnacentral:tRNA from 1 species
CACCAGAAAGCUAAAUAGGGAUUAGCAUUAGCCUUUUAAGCUAAAGACUGGUGGCCCCCAACCACCUCUGAUGA